rnacentral:misc_RNA from 1 species
UUUCCGUAGGUGAACCUGCGGAAGGAUCAUUACAGAGGUUCUGCCCCCCGGGGUAGGUCUCCCACCCGUGUAUACCGUUAUGAAAUGUUGCCUUGGCGUGCCGUGCGCCUGGCGCACCUGGGCCCCCGGCCCGGCGCGCACGCCCGAGGACCCCCGAACGCUGUCUGUACGUGUCGUCUGAGCACUAUAUCGAAUAGUUAAAACUUUCAACAACGGAUCUCUUGGCUCUGGCAUCGAUGAAGAACGCAGC